rnacentral:rRNA from 1 species
CGGAACGGUCAUAGCUGCCUGGUUCUACCCGAUCUCGUUCGAUCUCGGUCGUCAAGCAGGCAUACGUUCUCGGCUGUACUGCUCUCUGUGGCGGAAAACCGAGAAAGCUGUUCCAC